AUGGCCUACAAGCUCCAGCUGCCAGAGGGCAGUUGUAUCCACUCCGUCUUCCACGUGUCACAGCUGAAGCCCUUCACGCCAGAUUACUCGUCGGUCUUCUCCGAGCUGCCCCGUACACCCGACCUCACCGUGACUCCACUCCAACCUGUCGCCAUCUUGGAUCGAUGCAUGGUCAAGAAGGGCAACAACUCCGUGGUGCAUGUACACGUUCAGUGGUCAUCGCUCUCCACAAAGUCUGCAACCUGGGAAGAUUACAAUGUGCCACGUCAUCGCUACCCGACGGCGCCAUGCUGGACAGAAGACGCUGCAGCUCAUGGAGGGUAA
rnacentral:rRNA from 1 species